CUGUGACUCCAGGUGUUUCCUAGUGCAGCUGUCACACAGCUGGACCCAGAAGGGCCUGCAUUCACUGAUUCAUUUUCAGAACCUUCUCGUUGUACCGUGUCAACAUCCAUUGGAAAAUCCCAGGAAGCACAACACGAGGCUCAGUGCAUUCUGACUGCAGCUUACGGCAUGCUCAAUCAUUAUUCACUCAAUAAAUUUUUCCUGAGCACCUACUAUAUGCCAGAGAGUCAGACCCUGUUCUAGACACUAGGGAUAUAAUAGUGGUUAAAAACAGACUCACUCACUGCUCCAAUGGAGCUUAGAGUUUGCUGAGGGAGAGUGCCAGG